rnacentral:rRNA from 1 species
CCUACGGGUGGCAGCAGUGAGGAAUAUUGGUCAAUGGACGAGAGUCUGAACCAGCCAAGUAGCGUGAAGGAUGACUGCCCUAUGGGUUGUAAACUUCUUUUAUAUGGGAAUAAAAUGUUCCACGUGUGGGAUUUUGUAUGUACCAUAUGAAUAAGGAUCGGCUAACUCCGUGCCAGCAGCCGCGGUAAUACGGAGGAUCCGAGCGUUAUCCGGAUUUAUUGGGUUUAAAGGGAGCGUAGGUGGGUGGUUAAGUCAGUUGUGAAAGUUUGCGGCUAAACCGUAAAAGUGCAGUUGAAACUGGCAGUCUUGAGUACAGUAGAGGUGGGCGGAAUUCGUGGUGUAGCGGUGAAAUGCUUAGAUAUCACGAAGAACUCCGAUUGCGAAGGCAGUUCACUGGACUGCAACUGACACUGAGGCUCGAAAGUGUGGGUAUCAAACAGGAGUAGAUACCCGUGUAGUC